rnacentral:rRNA from 1 species
UGGGGAAUAUUGCACAAUGGGCGCAAGCCUGAUGCAGCAACGCCGCGUGAGGGACGACGGCCUUCGGGUUGUAAACCUCUUUUAGCAGGGAAGAAGCGGAAGUGACGGUACCUGCAGAAAAAGCACCGGCUAACUACGUGCCAGCAGCCGCGGUAAUACGUAGGGUGCAAGCGUUGUCCGGAAUUAUUGGGCGUAAAGAGCUCGUAGGCGGUUUGUCGCGUCUGCUGUGAAAACGCGAGGCUCAAACCUCGCGCCUGCAGUGGGUACGGGCAGACUAGAGUGCGGUAGGGGAGAUUGGAAUUCCUGGUGUAGCGGUGGAAUGCGCAGAUAUCAGGAGGAACACCGAUGGCGAAGGCAGAUCUUCUUGGGCCGUAACUGACGCUGAGGAGCGAAAGCGUGGGGAGCG